rnacentral:rRNA from 1 species
UACGUAGGGUGCGAGCGUUAAUCGGAAUUACUGGGCGUAAAGUGUGCGCAGGCGGCAGAGCAAGUCGAGUGUGAAAGCCCCGGGCUUAACUUGGGAAUUGCGCUCGAAACUACUUUGCUGGAGUGUGGCAGAGGAAGGUGGAAUUCCACGGUGUAGCGGUGGAAAUGCGUAGAGAUGUGGGAGGAACACCAAUUGCGAAGGCAGCUCGCUGGGACGUCGACUGACGCUGAGACGGCGAAAGC